UCGGAUCCAGAGCCCUUGCA
rnacentral:misc_RNA from 1 species